CCUACGGGGGGCUGCAGUGAGGAAUAUUCGUCAAUGGCCGUAAGGCUGAACCAGCCAAGUCGCGUGAACGAAGAAGGAUCUAUGGUUUGUAAACUUCUUUUAUAGGGGAAUAAAGGUAUCCACGUGUGGAUAUUUGCAUGUACCCUAUGAAUAAGCAUCGGCUAACUCCGUGCCAGCAGCCGCGGUAAUGCGGAGGAUGCGAGCGUUAUCCGGAUUUAUUGGGUUUAAAGGGUGCGUAGGUUGUUUUUUAAGUCAGCGGUGAAAGUUUCUGGCCCAACCCUAGACUUGCCGUGGAAACUAGAAGACUUGAGUGUGUUAGAGGUAGGCGGAAUGCGUGGUGAAGCGGUGAAAUGCAUAGAUAUAACGAAGAACUCCGAUUGCGAAGGCAGCUUACUGGGCCAAAACUGACGCUGAGGCACGAAAGCGUGGGGAUCAAACAGGAUUAGAUACCCGUGUAGUC
rnacentral:rRNA from 1 species